UCUGCCAGCCUUUCAGAGGCAGGCUUUCAGAGCAAGCACGUUUGGUCACCAACACCAGUUGGUUCACCAUGUGGCUUUUGCUCUUUUUGCUCCUUAUUAUUUGGAUUUUGGUGGAAAAAAUUAUAAAUGAAGAAAAGGUCAAUAUUGGUUAUGGGGGAGAAUCUUGGGUUUAUUUUCUUUAUUAUUUUCGUUUAAUUUACUUUUCUUACAUCGUGGUUAGUGUAUAUUAGUUGCUGUAUUAUGCUUGUUCUAUUCUAUUUCUAUUUUUAUUUUUGAAACAAAUGUAUUUUUAUUUAAAAUUUUAUUUACCGGUAAGUUCAUUUAAAUUGCUAGUUUGAGAAAUUGUUUCAUUUAAUAAUUGGAUUAAUUUGAUAGUUGUUGUGGGUUUUUCGGGCUCUUUGGCAGUGUUCUGAAGGUUGCUCUUCCUGAUGUUUCGCCAGUCUCUGUGGCCAUGGGCAUCUUCAGAGGACUGGAGUAGGAACUCUGUCCAUGCUCUGUUGCUGUUUGUUCGAUAGUUCAGUAUUUAUAGCUGUGGGAACUGGGAGGAAAUGGGCUCAAUUUGAGUUCUUGAUUGUGGUUCAUUUUUCCCCCUCUUGUUUCUCCUCUAGCAGUUUCUGAUUUACAAUGUGACCGCACAUCAAGAAAACUGGGACAGAGUUGCACAUCAAGAAAGCUGGGACAAAUUUUGGAGACAUCGCUGGGGAAGGCUUCCUGGCCUUCAAAGAACAGGAGCUCCUUGAGUGGCACGCCUACUGGAAAUAUAUUAAAGCUUCCCUCCACCCUCAAGUCAACGAGGGGAGGUUAUGGGACACCCGCGUUGCUUUUGCCAGCCGGCGGGCCCUCAAUUCUCAAUCCUUGGCUCCUGCCACAUGCCCAAAGCCACCAGUCCCAGCUGGCCAGUCCAGAUCAGCGCCAGCCAUGCUGUGGGCCUGAGGGAGCUCGCCCCACGUGCACCAGAUCCCACGUGGGAGAAGCCCAGGCCAGCGUGAGAGACAUCUGCAAUGCCGGGGGCAAAUCUCUGGCCUCACAUCCACGCUCCUGGCUACCUUGAAUCUUGUUCCCUGGACCCUUGGCUUUGGACUCUGACCCCGGACUACAUUGUGUGAUUUGGCUUUGGACCCUGACCUCGGAUUACGGUUUGUGAUUUGGCUUUGGCAUUUUGGUAUCGGCUC
rnacentral:lncRNA from 1 species